rfam:Drosophila grimshawi strain TSC#15287-2541.00 Ctg01_21057, whole genome shotgun sequence.
CUGCUGUUGCUAAUUUUAUGCUAGACGGGCGUUAAUAUCAAGCUGCCAUUUAUGGCUUCCGUUUUGUAGAAUUAA